rnacentral:rRNA from 1 species
UACAGAGGGUGCAAGCGUUGUUCGGAAUUAUUGGGCGUAAAGGGAGUGUAGGCGGUUCACUAAGUCUUCUGUGAAAUCUGCGGGCUCAGCCUGCAAAGUGCAGAGGAAACUGGUGGACUUGAGUGUCGGAGAGGAUAGGGGAAUACCCGGUGUAGAGGUGAAAUUCGUAGAGAUCGGGUGGAACACCAGUGGCGAAGGCGCCUGUCUGGCUGACAACUGACGCUGAGACUCGAAAGCAUGGGGAGCAAACAGG